UACGUAGGGUGCGAGCGUUGUCCGGAUUUAUUGGGCGUAAAGAGCUCGUAGGCGGUUUGUCGCGUCUGCCGUGAAAGUCCGGGGCUCAACUCCGGAUCUGCGGUGGGUACGGGCAGACUAGAGUGAUGUAGGGGGAGACUGGAAUUCCUGGUGUAGCGGUGAAAUGCGCAGAUAUCAGGAGGAACACCGAUGGCGAAGGCAGGUCUCUGGGCAUUAACUGACGCUGAGGAGCGAAAGCAUGGGGAGCGAACAGG
rnacentral:rRNA from 1 species